GGGCGUGUAGCGCAACCUGGAUAGCGCGAGUCACUCCUAAUGACUAGGUUGUGGGUUCAAAUCCCAUCACGCCCG
rnacentral:tRNA from 1 species